AGAGUUGAUCAUGGCUCAGGAUGAACGCUAGCUACAGGCUUAACACAUGCAAGUCGAGGGUAGCAGGGUAGCAAUACCGCUGACGACCGGCGCACGGGUGAGUAACACGUAUCCAACCUUCCCAUAACUCAGGGAUAGCCUUUCGAAAGAAAGAUUAAUACCUGAUAGUACUUUUCAAGGCAUCUUGAGAAAGUUAAAGAUUUAUUGGUUAUGGAUGGGGAUGCGUUCCAUUAGAUAGUUGGUGAGGUAACGGCUCACCAAGUCUUCGAUGGAUAGGGGUUCUGAGAGGAAGGUCCCCCACAUUGGUACUGAGACACGGACCAAACUCCUACGGGAGGCAGCAGUGAGGAAUAUUGGUCAAUGGGCGAGAGCCUGAACCAGCCAAGUAGCGUGAAGGAUGAAAGGUCCUAUGGAUUGUAAACUUCUUUUAUAGUAGAAUAAAGUGAUCCACGUGUGGAUUUUUGUAUGUAUACUAUGAAUAAGGAUCGGCUAACUCCGUGCCAGCAGCAGC
rnacentral:rRNA from 1 species